AGCCCCCCCUUGUCAUCGUACAUCAUGGAUGAGGAAACGCUGAAGAGGAAACAGAAGGAGAAGCUGAAGAAGCUGAUGGCCACAGGAGGAAACCCCCGGCCCGCACGCUCCCUUCUCUUCUUCACUCUGAGGAAUCCCUUCCGUAAGGCGUGCAUCACCGUCGUGGAGUGGAAGUAUCCUCAGAAAAGAGGGGGGGGUCGGGGGACUGCAUUUUACACAAAUCUGCUGCAGUUCUGGAGGCUCAGAACUCUGAACUGUGUGCAAGAUGGAAAAAAAAGAAAAAAAAUCUACUGAAAAAAAUGUUUGUCCUUCCUAUUCACAUGUUCAGACCUUUUGAGAUCAUUAUCCUGCUCUCCAUCUUUGCAAACUGUGUGGCCCUGGCCGUGUACCUGCCCAUGCCCGAGGAGGACAGCAACAACACCAACAGCAACCUGGAAAGCCUAGAGUACAUCUUCCUCAUCAUCUUCUCCAUAGAAUGCUUUCUAAAGAUCAUAGCGUAUGGAUUUCUGUUCCACGCAGACGCAUACUUACGAAACUGCUGGAACAUUCUGGACUUUGUCUGCGUUUCUGUUGGGUUGUUUACUGUAGCUAUGGAUGCAAUCAACCACAUCAGUGGAGUGGAGGCUCCGGUUGGAGAAAAAGGUGGUGGCUUUGAUAUGAAAGCUUUGAGGGCCUUCAGAGUCCUCCGCCCCCUCAGACUGGUCUCUGGAGUCCCCAGUCUGCAAGUUGUGAUGAACUCCAUUCUGAAAUCCAUGCUCCCUUUGUUUCACAUCACCUUACUGGUCCUCUUCAUGGUCACCAUUUACUCCAUCAUGGGACUGGAGCUCUUCAAGUGUAAAAUGCACAAGACCUGUUACUAUGUUGGCACAGACAUCAUUGCAUCAGUGGACAAUGAGAAGCCAGCUCCUUGUGCUCAGGCAGGAAACGGUCGGAAAUGCCUCAUAAAUGGGACAGAGUGUCGAGCUGGAUGGCCGGGCCCCAACCGUGGAAUUACCCACUUUGACAACCUUGGAUUUUCUAUGUUGACCGUCUAUCAGUGCAUCACCACACAGGGGUGGACCGAUGUCCUGUACUGGGUGAAUGAUGCCAUAGGAAUGGAAUGGCCGUGGAUCUAUUUCACCACUCUCAUCCUGGUGGGCUCAUUUUUUGUGCUUAACCUGGUUCUUGGUGUUCUCAGUGGGGAAUUCACAAAAGAGCGAGAAAAAGCCAAAUCCAGAGGAGAGUUUCAGAAACUGAGGGAAACCCAACAGCUGGAUGAGGACCUGAAAGGCUACAUGGACUGGAUCACACAGGCUGAAGUCAUUGAUAAUGAUAAUGACAGACAGGGUCUGCUGCCAUUGGAAAAUGGGAAUUCAGAAGCUGGGAGUGUUGGUCAAAUGGACACCAUGCAGCUGAUCAUCUUCUACUAUAAGCUGGCUCGUAAGUGGAAUCGGUGGUUGCGGCGGAAAUGCAGAGUGUACGUGAAGUCCAAGUUGUUCCACUGGUGGGUCAUCGUUCUCGUCAUGCUCAACACACUGGCAAUAGCAACAGAACACCACAAGCAGUCCCAGAGACUGACCAACUGGCAAGAGACCACCAACAAGCUGCUUCUGUCCAUGUUUGCUCUGGAGAUGUUCAUGAAGAUGUAUGCUCUGGGUUUACCCCCCUACUUCAUGUCUCUCUUCAACCGCUUUGACUGCUUUGUCGUGUCUAUUGGCAUCCUGGAGCUCAUCCUCGUCCACAUGGGCGUCAUGUCAGUCAUGGGCAUCUCAGUGCUUCGCUGUAUAAGGCUGCUGCGGCUGCUUAAAGUCACCAGAUACUGGACAUCCCUCAGUAAUCUGGUGGCUUCUCUGCUGAACUCCGUGCGCUCCAUUGCCUGCUUGCUCCUUCUCCUCUUUCUUUUCAUUGUCAUUUUCUCCCUGCUGGGCAUGCAGGUCUUUGGAGGAAAGUUUAACUUUCCCAGUCAACCUCAGCCUCGCAGUACGUUCGACAGCUUUCCCCAGGCUCUCAUCACUGUGUUCCAGAUUCUGACUGGUGAGGACUGGAAUACUGUCAUGUAUGACGGCAUAUUGGCUCAUGGGGGGCCGACCAUGCCUGGCAUCCUGGUCAGCCUCUACUUCAUCAUCCUCUUCGUCUGUGGAAACUUUAUUCUUCUGAAUGUUUUUCUUGCCAUCGCUGUUGACAACCUGGCAGAGGCGGAGUCUCUGACUUUAGCUCAAAAAGAGAAAGCUGAGGAGAAAAAACGCAAGAAAGCACUGAGGCCAAACAUGUCCGAUAAGGCCACGGAGGAGAAAGCUCUUCUGGCAAAGAAGCUGGCAGAGCAGCGAGCCAAAGGGGUCGAGGGCAUCCCGACAACUGCCAAGCUCAAGAUUGAUGAGUUUGAAUCCAACGUCAAUGAGAUCAAAGACCCGUUUCCUCCUGCAGACUUUCCAGGUGAUGAUGAGGAGGAGGACCCUGCCAUUCCAGAAAGUCCCAGACCCCGCCCAAUGGCUGAUCUGCAGCUGAAAGAGGAAGCCGUCCCGAUGCCGGAGGCCAGCUCUUUCUUCAUCUUUGGACCUCAGAACAAGUUCAGGAAGCUCUGUCAUCGUAUCAUCAAUGCAACCACCUUCACCAACAUCAUCCUCCUCUUCAUCCUGCUCUCAUCUAUUUCUUUAGCAGCUGAGGAUCCUAUUGACCCCGUGUCUCCCAGGAACCAGGUGCUGGCUUACGCUGAUAUAGUCUUCACAUCAGUCUUUACGGCAGAAAUAGUGCUGAAGAUGACAACUUAUGGAGCCAUUCUUCACAAAGGAUCUUUCUGCCGGAAUUCCUUUAAUAUUCUGGAUCUGUUGGUGGUCAGUGUUUCCCUGUUGUCCAUGGGCAUGGAAUCGAGUGCCAUCUCAGUCGUGAAGAUUCUCAGGGUGUUGAGAGUCCUCCGGCCCCUGAGAGCCAUCAACAGAGCCAAAGGACUGAAGCAUGUGGUUCAGUGUGUCUUCGUCGCUGUGAAAACCAUUGGGAACAUUGUACUCGUCACAAUGCUCCUGGACUUCAUGUUCGCUUGCAUUGGAGUCCAACUAUUUAGAGGCAAGUUCUAUUCUUGCACCGACCCUGACCAGAUGACAGAGGAAACCUGCAAGGGUUGGUAUAUACGGUACCAGGAAGGAGCCCUUCAUGAGAUGGAGAUCCGUAAACGGGAAUGGACCAAUGCAGAGCUAAACUUUGAUAACAUUUUCAAUGGGAUGUUGUCUCUAUUCACCAUUUCUACAUUUGAAGGAUGGCCAAAGAUACUCUAUAAAGCAAUCGAUUCCAGUAUGGAGGAUAAAGGGCCAAUUUACAACAAUCGAGUGGCCAUUUCCAUUUUCUUCAUCAUCUACCUCAUUCUUAUUGCUUUCUUCAUGAUGAAUAUAUUUGUGGGCUUCGUCAUUGUCACUUUUCAGGAGCAGGGAGAACAAGAGUACAAGGACUGUGAGCUGGACAAAAACCAGCGUCAGUGUGUUCAGUAUGCGCUAAAAGCCCGUCCGCUGCGCUGCUACAUCCCUAAGAACCCGUACCAGUACCAGGUGUGGUACAUUGUCACCUCCUGCUACUUCGAGUACCUGAUGUUCCUUCUCAUCAUGCUCAACACCAUGUGUCUGGGAAUGCAGCACUGCAACCAGUCUGACCACGUGACGCACCUGUCCGACAUGCUGAAUGUGAUCUUCACCGUGCUCUUCACAGUGGAGAUGAUCCUGAAACUCAUGGCGUUCAAAGCCAAGGGUUACUUUGGAGAUCCCUGGAACGUCUUUGACUUUGUCAUCGUCAUUGGGAGCGUUGUGGACGUGAUGCUGAGUGAAAUUGAUGCCGCUCUGGCUUCCUCUGGAGGACUCUAUUGCCUCCACGGCUGCUCUGAAGUGGACCCCAUGCAGGCAAUUGCUGCGUCUGAAAACAUGAGUGUGUCCAUCACCUUCUUCCGACUGUUCCGUGUCAUGCGUCUGGUGAAGCUGCUGAAUCGAUCUGAAGGAAUACGAAACCUGCUGUGGACCUUCAUCAAAUCCCUACAAGCGCUUCCGUAUGUGGCCCUCCUCAUCCUCAUGCUGUUCUUCAUAUAUGCAGUAGUCGGGAUGCAGAUAUUUGGGAAGAUAGCUCUGGUGGAUGGCACAUACAUCAACAGAAACAACAACUUCCAGACAUUUCCUCAGGCGGUGCUGCUGCUCUUCAGGUGUGCUACUGGGGAGGCGUGGCAUGAAGUGAUGCUUGCCUGCAUGUAUGGGAAGAAAUGUGAUCCGAAAUCUGACUUCCUGCCCGGAGAGGAGAACACUUGUGGGUCUAACUUUGCCAUCAUCUACUUCAUGAGCUUUUACAUGCUCUGUGCUUUUCUGAUUAUCAACCUGUUUGUGGCUGUCAUUAUGGACAACUUUGACUACCUGACACGUGACUGGUCCAUCCUCGGCCCACAGCACCUGGAUGAGUUCAAGAAGAUCUGGGCAGAGUAUGACCCUGAAGCCACGGGGCGGAUCAAGCACCUGGAUGUGGUGACUCUCCUGCGGAGGAUUCCUCCUCCUCUGGGAUUCGGAAAGUUCUGCCCUCAUCGUAUCGCCUGCAAGCGGCUGGUCUCCAUGAACAUGCCCCUCAACAGUGAUGGGACGGUCACCUUCAAUGCCACUCUGUUUGCAUUGGUCAGAACAGCACUGAAAAUAAAGACUGAAGGCAACUUUGAACAAGCCAAUGAGGAGCUGAGAGGAAUCAUCAAGAAGAUCUGGAAGCGCACCAGCAUGAAACUGUUGGAUCAAGUCAUACCUCCCAUCGGAGAUGACGAGGUGACUGUGGGGAAGUUCUACGCCACUUUCCUCAUCCAGGAUUAUUACAGGAAACUGAAGAAGAGGCAGGAGGAAUAUUAUGGCUACCGUCCCACAAAGAAGAGUGCCACCCAUGAGAUACAGGCUGGACUCAGGAACAUAGCAGAGGAGGCGCCUGCAGAGCUGCACAGAUCCAUUUCUGGAGACCUGCUGGCUGAGGAGGACUCUGACCACGGAGGGGAGGAGAUAUUCAGGAGACAAGCCAGUCUGUUUGGAAACCAUUCUGACCCAUUUGCCGUGGACGGUGAUGCAGCCUACACCAGCCAGCGCCCCCUACAGAUGGAUGAAGGCUUCACCAAUAACAGCAGCAUAAGUCAAAGCCAAUUCUGACCCUUGUUCUGAGGAUCUAAAGAUCUGAGCCUAGACUUCAAACGAUGGACUCUGAUGAAAGGCGCUGAAGGUCAACCCCGCCCACCUGGCGUUCUGUCUUUACUGACUGACGUCAUGUAGAGCUGAGGGUCCAUUCAUGUCAAGUUGCUGUUUGCUUUUCUUUCAUCCUCAUUGCUUAUAGCUCAACAGAGAAUCCUGUCAGAAUCAAACACCCUAAAGUGGACCUCUGGUUCAUUUAAAGCAUCACGUCUACACUAAAGAGGACUAGAUCAAACACAAUGUCCACAACCGACCCGGCUGUAUGAGGAAAAAUCACCAUUUGCAUAAACAAAUUGGAAUAAAUCCCUUAACGCUGUUUUUUAAUGCUGGUUACACAGGCAGCAAAUUUUUAUAAUGCAUUUUGUCAAAUGUUGCACUGACAGUGAUACGAUCAAGCUCAAGUCCACUGUCUGCAUCCAAAGCGAGGUCAUUGUCACCUUGAGUAGAGCAGUUUCUGUCUCAUAUAUUUUCUGCUCAAAUGCUCACAUGAUUGAUUUGCAACAGUUUUUUCAAGAACUUUAGGAAUGAGUUUACUGAAAAAUAUCCUUGAUGUUAUCUCAUAAAUAAUCAAAGUGACUUUGGUCAACAAGUAUUUCUAAAGCUGUGAUUUUCUUAAACUCCCUCUUUAAUAAUCUUUUGAUGGGUUUUAAAAGCAUCUCCAGUGGUCUUUUAAAUUAUUAUGAUGCCGUUUUUAACCAAACUUAAAAACCUUUGUCGUUUUCUAGGGCAUACUUUCUGCAGAGCAGCACUAUUAGCUCAUCAGAAAUAAAUCUCUCAGUUGUUGGCGCGGAGCAAACCUGCCCUCAUUUCCCAUCAUCCCUUUAUUUAUAUACUAUCCCACUAGCUUUCAGCCCCUUACA